ACAAAAACAUGUCUCUUUGGUUAUAAAUUAUAAAGAGUCUAACCUGCCCGGUGAAAGAUUUUUAACGGCCGCAGUACUUUGACUGUGCGAAGGUAGCGUAAUUGUUUGCCUUAUAAUUGGAGGCUUGUAUGAAUGGUUUGACGAGAAUAAGUCUGUCUUAAUUUAAUUUUUUAGAAAUUAUCUUUUAAGUGAAGAGGCUUAGAUUUUAUUGAUAGACAAGAAGACCCUAUCGAGCUUAAAAUUUUUUUAAUAAAUAUAUAUACAUAUAUUAUUUAUAAAUUUUAGUUGGGGUGACUGAGGAACACAUUUAGUUUCUUUAUAAAAAUUACUAAUUUAUUAAUAUUGAUCCAUUAUUUAUAAUGAUUAGUAAACUUAGUUACCGUAGGGAUAACAGCAUAAUCUUUUUUGAGAGUUCAUAUCGAAAAAUAGGUUUGUGACCUCGAUGUUGGACUAAAAUUUCCCAAAGGUGUAGAGGCUUUUAAUGGUUAGUCUGUUCGACUAUUAAAAUUUUACAUGAGCUGAG
rnacentral:rRNA from 1 species